rnacentral:rRNA from 1 species
GACGAACGCUGGCGGCGUGCCUAAUACAUGCAAGUCGAACGCAGUGGGGACGGGUGAGUAACACGUGGGUAACCUCCCAUCAGAGGGGAUAACACUUGGAAACAGGUGCUAAACCGAUACUGAUGGAUGGACCCGCGGUGCAUUAGCUAGUUGGUGAGGUAACGGCUCACCAAGGCCACGAUGCAUAGGCCACCGGAGAGGGUUGUCGGCCACACUUGGACCGAAGACCGGGCCAGACUUCUACGGGAGGCCGGAAGUGGGGAUCGUUGGCAAAGGGCGGAAGGCCGAACCAGCCACGCCGCGGUGGGUGAAAAGGUUUUCGGAUCCGAAAACUUUUUUGGUUGGGAAGCGGUAUCUAACCAGAAAGCCACGGCUAACUACGUGCCAGCAGCCGCGGUAAUUC